ACAGCUGCACGCAAUUUCUUUGCCAAAAUACUUUUUGCACAGCUGCUCUUAAUUAAAUGGAUAAAUCUUAAAGGAAAAUGCUUGCGAAUGGAAAAACUGCUCAGAUAAGCCAAAAGCCAAAUGCAUUUCAAAUGCCAUUUUUGUAUCGGGCUCGGGUUGCUUGGCCAAAAAAAAAAGCUGACAGCCAAUGCAGCCAACGACAGCUUAGAUUUUCAGAGAACCCUGGUACGACUGGAUCACAAAGAACAUCUCGGUCAUCCUGUGGCCGUAGCGGAAGCGAUGAAAAACAGUUUAGAUAAAGUAGUUUUAGAAUAAUGAAAUCAGCAUUUAAAUUCAAAAUAGGCUUACAAAGUAUCUGUAGAUUUGUAAAAAUAAUCUGUUUAGUGUCUAAA